GAGAGGGGACUGCUGUACAGCAUGCAUUACUGACAUGUCCAGUGGUCAUUAAACACCUUAGACUACUUUCAACUGUCUGACAGUUUUAUACUUUGAUAUUAAACAAAAAAACUCGGCAUCAAGCAAAGUUGUAAUAAAAUGACUUCCGUUUAUUGCAUUUUGUGCAGACAAAUCUAUAAAAUGGUUUGAGAAAACCAUUAGCCAUUGAUGUAUAAGCCUUUGACAUGGUUAAACAUCUUGGUAAAACAACAGUUUAUAUAUCAUUAUUGAACACAAUAGAGAAUACAUAUUUCUAUAUCUGUAAAAUAUUAAACUUGCAUUGACACACAAAUGAAAUAUCUAAGCUCUACUUUGAUAAUUAUUGAUGUAUUUACAAAUGUCCCAUCUUUACCCUUUCUUUACCGGUACAUACUCUCAAACAAACACAUACAGAUGCGCACAGUAAACACUCACAGGCAUGCACACACUUGGACAGGCAUACACACAAACACCCACACUCACACACACACACACACACACACACACACACAUACAGACAUAUCUGAACAUGCCACUACUUUGUUCAUUCUACAUCAUCACUCUUGUUCCUAAAGAACAUAAAAUUGUGAACAUAAAACACCUACUAAUCAAGAUAGCUAUCCUCUCAGAUCUACAUCAAUUUCUACCUUUAAAAAUGCAUUACAAUGCUCCUAUGGACCAAGUAUAAAUACAAUAUCAUAAGUGAAGAUUUAGAAACACUAGCUCUUGAUAUUUUUUUCUUGCUGGCAUUGUGCUCACACUUCUCGAGUAGAUGAAGGAGUCAUGAGGGUUGCACAAAAAAUCUGACCUCCUAAAAAAGAAGGCUUAACAUUAGCUAACACAAUGUGAUGAGUUUGACUUUUCUGUAAUGAAAAUGACACACUUACAUGCAUAUACUAGGUUCUAAAGUCUGUGGGAACCAGAACAGUAAAUAAACUGUCCAUUCUUAGUAAAAGCUACAAAAUCCUUCUCACUAUGCAUUGUCCUCAGUGGAAAAAAGAAGAAAUAAAUUCCUGGCUUAGUUAAAAAUUAGUCUGUAUGAAAAAAACUGAGCUAAUUUAGUUGACUAUGGGGUGAUAGAAUGAUAGCAAGUGCAGAACGGCAGUGGGAGCUAGCACGUAAUGGGAGCGUGUGUUUUAUUUAAAAUAACACCCCAAUAUUUGGGAUUUCUUUUGACCCAAUCCAUAAGUUCACAACAUUGUAAAUCAUUGGUGUAAUUUGACACACAGAUAUGAAGGAAGUCCUGAUCUAUUUGGACUGAGUAGCAAUUUACCAGGGUUUAGUGUGUAAAGGUUUGGAGUUUCUUCCCCUCGCGACUGUUGUCUUUUCUGGACGCGGUGGAUAUAUACAACAUAAAAUAAUAUUUUUUUGCGGCAAAUACCCAGUGUUUGUGGUUAUAAAAAGCAUAAUAAUAUGUACAUUUGAAAUCAAAAUCCACAUGUAUAAGUUAGUAUUUGGAGAAAAUAUGCAUAAUUGUCGGUAUUUAAAGUAGGUAUGUUAUUUGUCGAUUUUGAUUUGUUUCUCGACUAAUUAUUUACCUAAAUUGUAAAAUAAUCAAUUAAUGACUUUAAUAAAGCAAGUUGAAAAACAAUUGUGAUUGCAGAAACAAACUGUGCUAUACAUUACUUGCAUGCAUUAAACAAAUCUAAAUGAUUCACACUUGUGCACAUAUGCGCUAGAACUAUCACAGUGAAAAGCCUGUUUACCUGCUUUGGACUUACACAAAUAGCCUCUCAGCAAUAUAUCGUGUUGGAUUCUACAUUAAUUAAGUGGUGGUCUUGUCAAAUUGGCCGAGUUUUUUCAAGUUAUUUUACAGGGUUGUAAACAGAAGUGCAUUCCUGAUGAGCACUUUCAAACUUGAUAGCUUCAACAUUUCAGCGCAAGGCAAAGUCCAAUGUCACAGGGUAAUGAUUUGUGGAUUCGAGAGCCCUUUUCGCACCCUGUUCAUAAAUGUAUAUAAUCUGACAUCUUUUUUUUUUUUUUUUUUGCUGUAGAGAAGGAUUCUUAUGUGUAAUGAGACAUUAUAAAACAUCCAGAGUAUGGCAGUCUAACUGCAGCCUUUCUGUCUGACCUCCCUCUUACUUCUGUAGACGAAGUCAUCGAAUGUGUAAAUAUAACACUGUAAAGGUCUCUCUGACCUCUGCCAAUGGUGGAAGCCCUGGUUUUGUCGUUUUUGAUCAUAUUAAAAUCUACCACAAUCAUACUGCUGGUGAAUCAGUAAGAUGGUAGGUUAUGGUAGGGGGGAUCGUAUGUGUUUAUAGAAACCAUAUCUAAGACUCAUACUGUAAGCCAAACAUACACAUUAUUCGGCACACCAUACAACACAGCCAUUCUCCGACCAUAGGUAUAUACGUAUCUGUAUGAUUCUAUGGCUCCAACACUCUCCAUCUCAUGUACCCAAUAACACCACACACAGAAAUCUACGGAUCUACUUGAUUCAGAAGAUUGCAGCAAUAAACUUUAACCUCAUGCAGUAGGCUCAGCAGUGCACUCCCAAGCUCUGAUAACAUUGUUCAUCCCUGUCACUUUUCAUAUAGGGAUGAACAGCUGAUCUGAUAUUCUGAUUACUGUAUAUGUCUACACAGAAUAUUUAUAUAUGUCCAAGAAUUUUCUUAUGUUUUAGGUUUACAGUAGGUUUGUUGCAUAGAUCCCCAAGUUUAAACACUCAAUUCAAAAUCGCCAUAUGAUUUUACUUUAGUUAAAUAAUGACUUAGGCCAAACUCAUAUUUGAAUAAAAACCAUUCUCCCCAGGCAGACUGGCUGACGCCCACAAUGUAAACAAUGUUCCAGCUGUUGCCCUUGGUCUUGACUUUCUGACACUAAAUAAUUAUCUGUUUUCAGCUCAAAAGAUGAACUUGGGACACAUUUACUUUAUGCAAGUGCCAAAUGCCUUGUCCUUCAUGACAACUUGUCCUACAUCACAACUAACCAAGUCCUGUCUAGAAGGAUACCAUAUGAAACUACUGUUACAAACACCAUGCAAACAGGAAUAUAAAUACAUUGUUUUCAACAUCAACUUUUAGACAAGUUAUGUCAUAUUUAUGUUUCCAGUUACUGUAUAUACAUUAUAGCAGUUUUAUAUUUUCCUUAUAUAUAUAUAUAUAUAUAUAUAUAUAUAUAUAUAUAUAUAUAUAUAUAUAUA
ensembl:lncRNA